UACGUAGGGGGCAAGCGUUGUCCGGAUUUAUUGGGCGUAAAGAGCGUGUAGGCGGCUUGGUAGGUCCGCUGUGAAAACUCGAGGCUCAACCUCGAGAUGUCGGCGGAAACCAUUUGGCUAGAGUCCGGAAGAGGAAAGUGGAAUUCCUGGUGUAGCGGUGAAAUGCGCAGAUAUCAGGAAGAACACCCGUGGCGAAGGCGGCUUUCUGGGACGGUACUGACGCUGAGACGCGAAAGCGUGGGGAGCGAACAGG
rnacentral:rRNA from 1 species